rnacentral:tRNA from 1 species
GCGCGAGUGGCGGAACAGGUAGACGCGCUGGACUUAGGAUCCAGUGCCUUCGGGUGUGCGGGUUCGAGUCCCGCCUCGCGCA